UGCAGUAAUUGUGCACCAUGUAGGCGUUU
rnacentral:piRNA from 1 species